rnacentral:lncRNA from 1 species
UCGCAGUGCCUCAUUCAUCCCAUUUUAUUCACUUCUUGUGAGCCUAAACCUGCGCUUUAGAGCUACCAAUAAAGUUAUGAUGCAAUUGCCGAAUACACUAACUAAAAGCUACUUGCUAUAGCAUAAGUGUUGAAAUGUUGUGCAUUCUAUCAUUUUUCUUUUGAUUUUGCUUUUUUGUCCUGAAUUUUUAUUUCUGAAUCGAGAUAAUCAAUGAUAUUUAUUGCUGUAAAAUUAAAAAGAAUGCCUCUGAUGUAAAGAUUGAAAUCUUUGAGUAACUUGGUGACAGAAUGUUGAUAAGGCACGAGAUGUUUACCUUUGUUAACAAGUUUCAAUCUUGUUUUUGUUUGUCUGUAGAGGCACCUCAGGUAACAGUAUCCGAAUCAGAUGCUGGAUUUCUAGCAUCAUGGAGUAGUGAGACUUCUAGUGCAGACUUCAUCGUGGCACAGGAUGGUUCAGGUACCCACAAAACAAUCAGGGACGCCGUUGUUUCCCUGGCUGCAAUAGAUAAAAAACGUCGUCCUGCAAGAUCCAUUAUUUAUGUUAAAUCAGGAGUCUACAAUGAGAAAGUUGAAAUUGGACACAACUUGAAGAAUGUGAUGUUUGUAGGAGAUGGCAUAGACAAAACUAUUGUCAUUGGCAAUAGAAAUUUCAUUGAUGGCUAUUCUACUCUUAGCUCAGCUACAUUUGGUGAGACUCGUUUAUUUCUCAAACCAAGUUUACAGUGUCAAUUAAAGGUUUCAUUUGCUAACUUCAUAAUUGUAUCAAACAGAUGUAUCUGGGGAUGGGUUUUGGGCCAGAGAUAUGACAUUUGAGAACACAGCAGGUCCUCAAAAGCAUCAAGCAGUGGCACUAAAGGUUAGCUCCGACCGAUCAGUCUUCUAUAGAUGCAGCUUCAAAGGUUAUCAAGACACUCUUUUUGUGCAUUCAAAUAGGUAAUUUUACAGAGACUGCCACAUAUAUGGCACCAUUGAUUUCAUAUUUGGUGAUGCCUCAGUGGUAUUCCAAAAUUGUGACAUCUAUGUAAGGAGACCAAUGGACAAUCAAGCCAACUUCAUCACAGCACAGGGAAGAGAUGAUCCUCAUAAACCCACUGGGAUUUCAAUUCAGAAUUGCCAGGUUAGGCCUGCAUCUGAUUUUGACAAUUCAAAGGGCUCCAUGAUCAGGAGCUACUUAGGGAGGCCAUGGAAAAAGUACUCAAGGACAGUGUUUAUGAAGACAGAUUUAGAUGGGUUGAUUGAUCCAAAGGGAUGGGGUGAGUGGGAUGGAAACUAUGCACUUUCAACUUUAUACUAUGGAGAGUAUAUGAACACGGGAAGUGGUGCCUCUACCCAGUACAGGGUGAACUGGCCUGGUUUCCAUGUUUUGCAAACAGAUAUUGAGGCAUCACCAUUCACUGUGAGCCAGCUAUUGCAAGGAGAGCAGUGGAUUCCAACUACAGGGGUUCCAUUCUGGUCUGGAAUUUAAGCUGGGAAAUUACCUUAACUGAUGCAGCUAGAUGAAAGUAUUGGAUCAAUGGGUUGUAACUUGUAAACCAUGCACCUCUGGGAUUGUGUUACUUUAUAUUGUAUCUUUAAUUGCUUGCUUGCAAAAAUAAAAUAAAUUGCAUGCCAUACACCUUUCA